rnacentral:rRNA from 1 species
GUGAGGAAUAUUGGACAAUGGGCGCAAGCCUGAUCCAGCCAUGCCGCGUGCAGGAAGACGCAUCUAUGGUGUGUAAACUGCUUUUGUACGGGAAGAAACACUCCCUCGUGAGGGAGCUUGACGGUACCGUAAGAAUGAGGAUCGGCUAACUCCGUGCCAGCAGCCGCGGUAAUACGGAGGAUCCAAGCGUUAUCCGGAAUCAUUGGGUUUAAAGGGUCCGUAGGCGGUUUAAUAAGUCAGUGGUGAAAGCCCAUCGCUCAACGAUGGAACGGCCAUUGAUACUGUUAGACUUGAAUUACAAGGAAGUAACUAGAAUAUGUAGUGUAGCGGUGAAAUGCUUAGAUAUUACAUGGAAUACCAAUUGCGAAGGCAGGUUACUACUUGUGGAUUGACGCUGAUGGACGAAAGCGUGGGGAGCGAACAGGAUUAGAAACCCGUGUAGUCC